ensembl:lncRNA
CUCAUGGAGAUGUCCAGCUGGAAAUACUGAAAGGCUUUUGAUACCCAGUGGAAAACUCCAGAAGGGGUUCCAGGGUUAAGGGUCACAUAUGUAGCCUUGAAGGCUAUGUGUGACAGAGUUGUUUUUCUAUCAGCACUUGACAGGUGUGUCGUGGACAGCACGUCUGACUCCUCAGGGGAGCUGACAAAAUGUCAGGGCUAUACGCCCAGAUUAGUUGAGCCGUCAGUCACUUCAGGCCCUUGUUCAAACAGUUACGAGUCUCUCGGCCCUUCCUUUCCAUUCAGGCUUUCUUUCAAGUUAAACAAAGUCACUGACCAUCACAAAGGAAAUAUUCAUAUCAUUGUAUGGAGGAAAAAAAGGUACAAAAUGGAACUGUUUACUUUGCUGUGUUUGGAUUAUAAACAAAUAUUCACACCUGUGCUGGGCCUCCAGCUGAUGAAGAACUGAGCCAACUAUUUGAAACAGACACAUUUUCAUACUUUUCAUAACUUCCAGUCACUUUAGCGCAGAUUGCCAAGACUGAAAAUUAAAUGACGAAGAAGAAAAAGAGCAAACAUUCUGUGGAUAAUUAACCACAAGAGGAAAAUUGCUAAAUUGGUUGAACUUAUAACCAAUCUGUGAUAUAAUCAUUUCUGUAUUCACCAACUUGCUGGAGGUAGAAUACCUUUAAAAGGAGUCUUUACACAAUUGAUAGAUUGCUCCAACAUGUAAAGUAAAAGAGCAAUGAAUGCAUUUCCCCGCAAUAUUCAUGCCAAGUGCUAAAGCUGGAAUAAGGAGCAAAGUGAGGAAAACUCACAUGAUCAACUGAGUAAAAAACUGUGGCCAGAUCACCCUCACCAAAGGUAGUCUCUUGGUAUCUUGUUUUUAACUCUGGUCAGCUGAGUAGCAUAGUAACUCCAUGGCAUCCAAAUAUUGAUUGGGUAUCCAACAUUCCGAAGUCUGCUGACUGCAUAGAGACAGCUUCUGUCAACAAACAAAUAAGCCCUUUUGCUGCUUCAGUCUGUGCAGUUAAGUGAAUCUUUUUGAAAGAUCUUCAAAGGGAAAGGAACCAACCGGAAAGAUCAUUUUUAACAUGAGAGGAGCUAUGGAAGUUCUAAAGAGGGUUCUAAGGAGUUUUCUUUGAGAACAAAGUGGGCUUUGUACACUUGCUGGUGCCAUUUGUGGCAGAAAAGGACUUUCUCGGAUUGCUUUGGGAUGAUGAAGAGCAUGUCUCUCAUCCAAGAACUGAAACGAUACCUUCAGGAAGAAUCAAAGGCAAGAUUUUCCAGCAGAAUAGUGACAAGAUCUGGAAGUGGAAGUAGAGUCAGCAUCUCUGGAACCCCAGAUCCCCAAAUGGAAAUCAGGGACUGCUGAGGAGGGGGGAGGGGAGCAGAUGCUGGGAAGACAGCCAACAAUGUGUAUAGCACACUCAGUUUCCCACAGUGAAUGAUAGAAAAUAAAACAAAGCAUGCUUUUGAAACCAGGAAUACUCACACAUGUGUAGCACACACAUUCGCAGAGAGGGAGAGAGAGAGAAAGAGAGAAGAAUGUUGCAUCCCAAAUACCUUUGUGGCCACGACAAAGUGAACAAAG